AUUGAACGCUGGCGGCAGGCCUAACACAUGCAAGUCGAACGAGUGGCGGACGGGUGAGUAAUGUCUGGGAAACUGCCUGAUGGAGGGGGAUAACUACUGGAAACGGUAGCUAAUACCGCAUACCCUCAGAUGUGCCCAGAUGGGAUUACCUUGUUGGUGGGGUAACGGCUCACCAAGGCGACUAUCCCUAGCUGGUCUGAGAGGAUGACCUGCACCCUUGGAACUGAUACACGGUCCAGACUCCUACGGGAGUCAGCAGUGGGUAAUAUUGCACAAGGGGCGUAAGCCUGAUGCAGCCAUGCCGCGUGUAUGACGAAGGCCUUCGGGUUGUAAAGUACUUUCAGCGGGGAGGCGUUACCCGCAGAAGAAGCACCGGCUAACUCCGUGCCAGCAGCCGCGGUAAUUC
rnacentral:rRNA from 1 species